rnacentral:misc_RNA from 1 species
UCGUGUGUAGUCGUCUACCGAAGGUCUGUAAACCAGACGUUGUUGUUCUAAAAUUGAAAAAGUAAAUAAACUUAUUUGUAGUUUGUGAAACUGGCUGGAACUAUUGGGAUUUUUUUCAUGAAUUGAUUUAUAUUAAAAAAAUGGGAAAGUUAAACUUAAUUUUAUUAAGUAUACUGCUAAGUUCCUGUUUGUGUGAUGGAUAUCGGAUCUUGGCAGUGUUUCCGACGCCAAGUGUUAGCCACGGUAUUCUUGCAGACAAUUUUGUGAAAACCCUUCUCAAUGCAGGACACGAAGUGGUGUACAUAUCGCCAUUUAAAAAUGUAAAUCAUCCGAAACUGGAGAUAAUAGAUGUCUCUCAAAACGUCGAAUUAUUUUCCGAUAACAUCGACGUUAAAGAAGUCAUGAAUGGAAGUCUGGAUCUACUAGACACAAAAGUUUUGUUCGAGAUAAUCACGACCAUAACGGAUGUGACGCUGGCUAACCCUAAUGUCCAGAAGCUAUUGAAAGACCCAAACCAAAAGUUCGAUGUCAUAGUAGCUGAAUAUUUCUUCAAUAAUAUUUAUUCUGCGUUGUCUGCAGUCUACGAUGCCCCAUUCAUCUGGUUCCUCACCAUAGUGCCUCACUCCAUGAUCCUCGACCAGAUCCAUGGGCCGAUGAACCCAGCAUACAGCAGUGACUACAUAGAAGCGAGGAUCGCUCCGUACUCCUUUGUGGAAAGAGUUCGUGGACUGUUUUUCACGUUAGGCUUGCUGUACAAUCUACAUGUCGCCUUCCCACCGGUAGAAGAAGCCAUAUACCACAAACAUAUACCUACGGUCUUAAGAUCAUUAGGGAAACCAAUUCCUGAUUACAAGGUCCUGACAUACAACGUGUCCUUAGUACUGGGUAACUCUCAAGUGGCUAUAGAAAGUGCAGUACCUUUGCCUCCGAACUUCAAACAUAUUGGUGGAUAUCAUAUUGAUGAUGACGUUAAACCGUUGCCUGAGAACUUGAAGAAAAUAUUCGACAAUGCCAAGAACGGUGUUGUAUUCUUCAGUUUGGGAUCAAAUUUAAGGAGUAAGGACUUACCUGAAGACAUGAAACAGGGUAUUUUGAAAGUGCUAGGAGGAUUGAAACAGACUGUCAUUUGGAAAUUCGAAGAAAGUUUACCAAACACACCAAAGAAUGUUCAUAUAGUGCAGUGGGCACCACAGCAAAGUAUUUUGGCUCAACCAAAAUUGGUCCUCUUCGUCACACACGGCGGUUUAUUGUCCACCACCGAAGCUGUCCAUUUUGGAGUACCUCUGGUAGUAAUUCCAGUGUUUGGAGACCAGUUUAUGAACGCAAACCUGGUUGAAAAGAAGGGCAUCGCUGUUCAAGUCAAAUUAUCUUACACGAUGCAUAACGAACUGAAGGUUGCUAUGGAUACAGUUCUGGGUGAUACAAAGUACGCUACAAAUGCAAAAGCCUUAUCUGCAGCUUUCCAUGACUUGGAAAUGAAGCCGAAAGUCGCUUUGAACUUCUGGGUGGAGCACGUGGUGCGCACGCGCGGCGCUCCUCACUUGCGCUCCGUCGCGGUCGACAUACCCCUCUACCAACGAUUGUACCUAGAUCUCUUAGCUUUAAUCCUUUUAACUCCUGUUGUUCUGUUACUAGUACUUAAAAGGAUCUGCUGUAAGAAUAGUGACAGUCAGAAAGUUAAAAGAAGUUGAAUUAUUUUUAGUGUUUUUAAGUAGGAUUAGUAUUUAUUAAUUUUUGUGUAUAUUGGAAGAGUAAUUUUUAGAACAAUUAUAUAUGUAAGAUUUCAACUUGAUUAGGUCAUCAUCCUCCGAGCCUUUUCCCAAUCAUGUUGGGGUCGGCUUCCAGUCUAACCGGAUUCAGCUGAGUACCAGUGCUUUACAAGAAGCGACUGCCUAUCUGACCUCCUCAACCCAGUUACCCAGGCAACCCGAUACCCCUUGGUUAGACUGGUUAGACUUACUGGCUUCUGACUACCCGUAACGACUGCCAAGGAUGUUCAAUGACAGCCGGGACCUACAGUUUAACGUGCCAUCCGAAACACAGUCAAUGGUGUCUAAGAUAUACUUAGAAAGCACAUACAAACUUAGAAAAGUUGCAUUGGUACUUGCCUGACCUGGGAUCGAACCCGCGCCCUCAUACUUGAGAGGUUGGUCCU